rnacentral:rRNA from 1 species
ACUGGCAGGCUAGAGUCUUGUAGAGGGGGGUAGAAUUCCAGGUGUAGCGGUGAAAUGCGUAGAGAUCUGGAGGAAUACCGGUGGCGAAGGCGGCCCCCUGGACAAAGACUGACGCUCAGGUGCGAAAGCGUGGGGAGCAAACAGGAUUAGAUACCCUGGUAGUCCACGCUGUAAACGAUGUCGACUUGGAGGUUGUGCCCUUGAGGCGUGGCUUCCGGAGCUAACGCGUUAAGUCGACCGCCUGGGGAGUACGGCCGCAAGGUUAAAACUCAAAUGAAUUGACGGGGGCCCGCACAAGCGGUGGAGCAUGUGGUUUAAUUCGAUGCAACGCGAAGAACCUUACCUACUCUUGACAUCCACAGAACUUGGCAGAGAUGCCUUGGUGCCUUCGGGAACUGUGAGACAGGUGCUGCAUGGCUGUCGUCAGCUCGUGUUGUGAAAUGUUGGGUUAAGUCCCGCAACGAGCGCAACCCUUAUCCUUUGUUGCCAGCGGUUCGGCCGGGAACUCAAAGGAGACUGCCAGUGAUAAACUGGAGGAAGGUGGGGGAUGACGUCAAGUCAUCAUGGCCCUUACGAGUAGGGCUACACACGUGCUACAAUGG